rnacentral:misc_RNA from 1 species
AAGAAACCAGAUUUUAUACAUUAUAGAGUAGUUUAGAUAUAUAGUUGAGUAACAUUAUAAUUAAACUUUCUUUAAAAGCAAUUUAGUAUGUACCUGCUAUAUUUUCCUCAUUACAUAAUCAAAAAUUAGAUUAUGAAAAAAGCCAUACCUUUUUUAUUUGCAUCAGCCAUUUAUUAUGGUGUUUUAUGUUCCGGUUCAGUAUUUGGAUGUAACUGUGAAGUAGAUUGCUCAUGUACUUUUCAAAAUUGCUCUGCUGGUCAAUAUUGGAGUAAUGAAGGAUGCCAAACUUGUCCUCCUGGUUAUUUUUGUGAAGGUUUGUCUAAUCCUGCUCAACCCUGUUUUGCUGGCACUUUCAGCUCUGCAAUAUCAGCUGUUUCCAAUCAUACAUGCCAAAGUUGUUCAGAUGGGACAUAUAGUUUAUUAGGUGCUGUAAAAUGCACUCUAUGUCCAGCUGGUUAUAAAUGUCAGUUAAAUGGGACAAUAGAAUUAUGCGAAUUUGGAACAUAUUCAGUUCUAGGACAAGCAUCUUGCAAUUCCUGUCCGCCAGGAUUUGUUUGCAGUGCAACUGAUGCUUUACCACAGCAUUGUCAAGGUGGUUUUAUACCAAAUAUCACAUCACAAAAGUGUGAUGCAUGUAGUGCUGGAGAAUAUUCAUACAACGGAACAACAACUUGCCAGAGUUGUGCUGAUGGAUUUUAUAGUUCAGAGGCUUCAAUUCAGUGUUUACCUUGUCCAAUUGGAUAUAGCUGUGAAGAUAAAGUUGCUCCAAAAAAAUGUUUAAAAGGAUCUUAUUCAUCAGAAAAUCACAUGUCAUGCAAUGACUGUCCUAUUGGUCAUGGAUGUCCAGUAGAUGGAUUAGGUGCACCAUCUAUGUGUGUUAAUGGAACUUAUCAAAAUGCAACUAAACAAUUACAAUGUCUUUUUUGUCCUGCUGGUCAUAUGUGUCCAAGUAUUGAUAUGACACCUAUACCUUGUGCUGAUGGAUUUUACAGUGCCACAGGUGUUAUGGGGUGCAUUAAAUGUCCUUCUGGUUACAGCUGUGAAGAUAAAGUUACUCCAACCAAAUGUUUAAAAGGAUCUUAUGCUUCAGAAAAUCACAUGACAUGCAAAGAUUGUCCUAUUGGUCAUGGAUGUCCAGUAGAUGAAUUAGAUGCACCAUCUAUGUGUGUUAAUGGAACUUAUCAAAAUGCAACAAAACAAAUACAGUGUCUUCUUUGUCCUGCUGGUUAUAUGUGUCCAAAUAUUGAUAUGACACCUAUACCUUGUGCUGAUGGUUUUUACAGUCCUGUUGGCGUUAUAGGGUGCAUUAAAUGUCCUUCUGGUUACAGCUGUGAAAAUAAAGUUACUCCAACAAAAUGUUUAAAAGGAUCUUAUGCAUCAGAAAAUCUUAUGUCAUGCACUGAUUGUCCUGUUGGUCAUGGAUGUCCAGUAGAUGGAUUAGAUGCACCAUCAAUGUGUGUUAAUGGAACUUAUCAAAAUGCAACAAAACAAAUACAGUGUCUCCCUUGUCCUGCUGGUCAUAUGUGUGCAAAUAUUGAAAUGACACCUAUACCUUGUGUUGAUGGUUUUUACAGUACCACUGGUGUUAUGGGAUGCAUUAAAUGUCCUUCUGGUUACAGCUGUGAAGAUAAAGUUACUCCAACAAAAUGUUUGAAAGGAUCUUAUGCAUCAGAAAAUCACAUGUCAUGCACUGAUUGUCCUAUUGGUCAUGGAUGUCCAGUAGAUGGAUUAGAUGCACCAUCUAUGUGUGUUAAUGGAACUUAUCAAAAUGCAACAAAACAAAUACAUUGUCUUCCUUGUCCUGCUGGUUAUAUGUGUCCAAAUAUUGAUUUGAUACCUGUGUCUUGUGCUGAUGGUUUAUAUAGUGUUUCUGGUGUUAUGGGGUGCAUUAAAUGUCCUUCUGGUUACAGUUGUGAAGAUAAAGUUACUCCUACAAAAUGUUUGAAAGGAUCUUAUGCAUCAGAAAAUCACAUGUCAUGCACUGAUUGUCCUAUUGGUCAUGGAUGUCCAGUAGACGGAUUAGAUGCACCAUCUAUGUGUGUUAAUGGAACUUAUCAAAAUGCAACAAAACAAAUACAGUGUCUCCCUUGUCCUGCUGGUCAUAUGUGUGCAAGUAUUGAAAUGACACCUAUGCCUUGUGCUGAUGGUUUUUACAGUGCUACUGGUGUUAUGGGGUGCGUUAAAUGUCCUUCUGGUUACAGUUGUGAAGAUAAAGUUACUCCUACAAAAUGUUUGAAAGGAUCUUAUGCAUCAGAAAAUCACAUGUCAUGCACUGAUUGUCCUAUUGGUCAUGGAUGUCCAGUAGACGGAUUAGAUGCACCAUCUAUGUGUGUUAAUGGAACUUAUCAAAAUGCAACAAAACAAAUACAGUGUCUCCCUUGUCCUGCUGGUCAUAUGUGUGCAAGUAUUGAAAUGACACCUAUGCCUUGUGCUGAUGGUUUUUACAGUGCUACUGGUGUUAUGGGGUGCGUUAAAUGUCCUUCUGGUUACAGUUGUGAAGAUAAAGUUACUCCAACAAAAUGUUUAAAAGGAUCUUAUGCAUCAGAAAAUCAAAUGUCAUGCACUGAUUGUCCUAUUGGUCAUGGAUGUCCAGUAGACGGAUUAGAUGCACCAUCUUUGUGUGUUAAUGGAACUUAUCAAAAUGCAACAAAACAAAUACAGUGUCUCCCUUGUCCUGCUGGUCAUAUGUGUGCAAGUAUUGAAAUGACACCUAUGCCUUGUGCUGAUGGUUUUUACAGUGCUACUGGUGUUAUGGGGUGCGUUAAAUGUCCUUCUGGUUACAGUUGUGAAGAUAAAGUUACUCCAACAAAAUGUUUGAAAGGAUCUUAUGCAUCAGAAAAUCACAUGUCAUGUACUGAUUGUCCUAUUGGUCACGGAUGUCCAGUAGAUGGAUUAGAUGCACCAUCUAUGUGUGUUAAUGGAACUUAUCAAAAUGCAACAAAACAAAUACAGUGUCUCCCUUGUCCUGCUGGUCAUAUGUGUGCAAGUAUUGAAAUGACACCUAUGCCUUGUGCUGAUGGUUUUUACAGUGCUACUGGUGUUAUGGGGUGCAUUAAAUGUCCUUCUGGUUACAGCUGUGAAGAUAAAGUUGCUCCAACAAAAUGUUUGAAAGGGUCUUAUGCAUCAGAAAAUCACAUGUCAUGUACUGAUUGUCCUAUUGGUCAUGGAUGUCCAGUAGAUGGAUUAGAUGUACCAUCUAUGUGUGUUAAUGGAACUUAUCAAAAUGCAACAAAACAAAUACAGUGUCUCCCUUGUCCUGCUGGCCAUAUGUGUGCAAGUAUUGAAAUGACACCUAUACCUUGUGCUGAUGGUUUUUAUAGUUUUGGUGGUGGUAUGAGUUGCAUUGAGUGUCCUCCUGGUUACAGUUGUCAAAUAAAAAGUGAGUCACCUGUAGAAUGCGACAUUGGUACUUAUUCAACAGGUGGUAUUUUAAAAUGUUUAAAUUGCACUGUUGGACACUAUUGUCCAUCAAAGUCAACCAUCAGUCCAAUACCUUGCCCUUCAGGUUUGUAUUCUACUAUAGAAGGACUUGGUAGAUGUACUCAGUGUCCUCUAGGUCAUAGGUGUGUAUCUAUAAGUGAUAAUCCAGAAGAAUGUCCCCUAGGAUACCACUCAUCUACAUUGGGAUCAUCAUACUGCUCUCCUUGUUCACUGGGAUAUUACACAGCAGUAACUGGGACUACUAAUUGCCUACCAUGUCCUGUUGGAUAUAUGUGUCCAAAUGCAAGCAUGGAACCUCAAAAGUGUGGAAUCAAUGAGUAUCAGCCCAAUCAAGGUAGAGAUUUUUGUUUAAUGCUUCCAUCUGGUAUGGUUGUAUCUCCUGAGGGUUUACUCAUUGAUUGCUCAACUAUGCCUGGUACCUAUUCAAAUGGUACAGCUUGUGUACCCUGUCAUAAAGGUUUUUACUGUCCCUCAUCUAUGCUUCCACCAAUACCGUGUCCAAAUGGAACAUAUUCAGAUUAUCAAGGUGCUGUUAGAUGCAUUGUUUGCCCUUCUGGUUUUCACUGUUUAUAUCCUGAAGAUUCACCUCAGAAAUGUAUUCAAGGUACUUAUAGCACUGCUGGCCAAACAACUUGUCAGAUAUGUCCUAGUGGUCAAUAUAGUUACAAUGCUUCCUCUUUUUGCUCUCAAUGUCCUGGUGGUUAUAUGUGUGCAAAUGGAACUGCUGUUGUUAUUCCUCCUGUUUUAUGUCCUCAAGGUACUUUUAGUCCGGAAGGAUUUGGAAAAUGUUUGCAAUGCCCUUCAACAACAUACAGCAACAGUGGUGCUCAUUUUUGUUUGCCUUGUCCUGUUGGCUUUAUAUGCAAUGAUCCCUCAGCAUCUCCGGUUGCAUGUUUGUUAGGAACUUACUGGAGCAAUUCAGAUGGAUUUUCCAAAUGUCUUUCUUGUCCAUUUGGCUAUAGCUGUCUCAAUCCGACUCAACCUCCAGUACCAUGUGUCUCAGGCACUUAUUCAACUGGAGGAAAUUCUACUUGUCUUCCUUGCCCAGCUGGUAAAUCUUGUAUUGAUCCAUCACAAAUCCCAAUUAACUGCCCUGUAGGAACAUAUAGCCCAAGUAAUGUUUCAUAUUGUUAUCCAUGUCCAGCUGGUAGUUAUUGUGAAACUAAUGAGUACAUAAGUGGAUUAUGUUCAGUUGGAACAUAUUCAUUGAAAGGAGAUUCAACUUGUAACAACUGCCCGGCUGGCUCAAUGUGUCCUAGCACAAAAAAUAUACCGAUUCCUUGUAGAUUGGGUCAGACCACUGGAGGUUUCAUUAAUCAAACAAGUUGUGUAACUUGCCCUGCAGGGUAUGAAUGCCCUACCACAGCAAGUCCAAUGAUACAAUGUGCAUUAGGCACAUUCAGUUUGGGGGGAGCAACAAUUUGCACAUUAUGUCCAGCUGGAUAUAAAUGCCCUGAUACCUCUAAGCGGCCAGUAAUUUGUGCAGAUGGAGAGUAUUCUUCAGGGGGUCAACAAACCUGCUCUGUAUGCCCUGCUGGCUAUUCUUGUCCAUCAAAAGCAACUUAUCCACCUGUAAUCUGUCCUUUAGGUAGUUAUUCUCCUGCUGGAAUCUCAUAUUGUAUUGUUUGCCCUGCUGGUUAUAUGUGUGAAAACCAAACUGUAUUAAGUCCAACUUUAUGUAAAGAUGGAGAAUAUACAGAUGGAAACAGUAUUGAAUGUAAAGUUUGUCCACCUGGUUGGCAAUGCCCUUUAAAAAAUGGGAUUAAAAAUAGUCAGUGUGUUUAUGGAACAUAUUCUCCUGGAGGUUUGACAUCAUGCAUUGUUUGUCCUGCUGGUAUGGAAUGCCCUAGCACUACAAUACUAAAUGCUACUCAAUGCAACCCAGGAUCUUUUUCAACGGGUGGGCAAGUGAGAUGUACCCCAUGUCCUGCUGGAAAUUAUUGUCCUUCAAUUAUAGCAGCCACCAUAAAUGCUUGCCCUACAGGUUUUUAUAGUGUAGGCGGACAAGAUGUAUGUUCAGAGUGUCCAGCUGGAUUUUCAUGUCCUAGUAACUAUGAACCUUUACUAAUUGCUUGUCCAUUAGGAUAUUAUUCACUUUCAGGAAGCUCAAGUUGCACUGCAUGCCCUGCUGGAAUGUACUGUCCGAAUACAACAUCUCCUGGUUUAGACUGUCCUACUUCAUAUUUCAGUUAUGGUGCUGCAUAUAUAUGUAAUCCAUGUCCAAAAGGAUUUUAUUGUCCCAAAAAAGACGCAUCUCCUAUUAUUUGCCCCACAGGUCAAUACACAAACACAUCUAGCGAGGUUUGUUUUAAUUGUGCACAAGGAUAUAUUUGCAUUAAAGGAAGUAUUUCAUCACAUCCUGAAUCGGGAUUAUGCCCUAUAGGUUAUUACUGUCCUGAUUCAAAACAGAUGCAGCCUUGUCCACUUGGAACUUAUGGUAAUAAGUUCGGAGCAAUAAGUCAAAAUGAUGGAUGUUUUCCUUGUCCUGUUGGAUACUUUUGUAACCAGCUACCAACUAUAGGUUAUCCUGGUGAAUCUAAUAGGUGUCCUCGUGGGCACUAUUGUUUAGCAUCAACAUCAAGCAUGUAUCAGUAUCCAUGUUUAGAUGGGACAUGGAACAAUAAACUUGGUCUAGAGAGUCAAAAUGGGUGUUUAGAGUGUAAAGCUGGAUAUUAUUGCAGUGGUGGCGAUGGUAAUGGUGACAGUUUAUGUCCUGCUGGUCACUAUUGUCCUCAUGGAACAAAUUCUUCUUCACAAUAUAAAUGUCCUGAUGGAACUUACACUGAACAACAGGGUUCUACAACAAUUACUGAUUGCAAAACAUGUCCUGCUGGUUUUUACUGUCCUUCUGGAUCAGAAGCUCCAGUUGCAUGCCCUGCAGGAACUUACAAUCCUUUAAGUAACCAGGAAGAUAUUUCCAAGUGUAGACUAUGUAUUUCUGGAAUGGCAUGUCCAGAAACUGGUCUAACAUACCCAACUGAGAGUUGCUAUGCUGGGUAUUAUUGUCCACUUGGUUCAGCUAUUCCAUAUGCAAAUCCUUGCCCUGCUGGCACUUACUCAGACUAUAGAAAUCUUACUUCAGCAGUUGAAUGUACAGUUUGUCCUCAAGGCCAAGCUUGUAGUACAGGAACAGGUGGUUUUGAAAAACCCCCUCAAGCAUGUGGAAAAGGCUACUGGUGUCCCCUUGGUACACAAUAUCCAACACAAUAUCCUUGUCCAGCAGGUUCUUGGUCAAACUUAACUAAUCUGUACACUCAAAGUGCUUGUUAUGUUUGUCCUAAAGGCUGGUUUUGUUUGCAAAAUGCUUCUUCACCCACUGGAAUUUGUCCCACUGGUCAUUAUUGUCCCUCUGGUACACAAAGUGCAACUCAAUUUCCUUGUGCAGCAGGUACUUACUCAAAUAGAACUGGAAAUACCAGAUGGGAAGUGUGCGAACAAUGCCUGGAAGGCAAUUAUUGCCCUCAAGGGUCAUCAAACCCUACUCCUUGUCCUCAAGGAAAAUAUAGACCAAUGCUCAAAGGCAAAUCACUUGGUGAUUGUACUAUAUGCACUGGUGGUUUUUACUGUCCCAUUAAAGGUACUGUUGAUCCAUUACCUUGUGAUGCUGGUUAUUUUUCACCUCCUGGUGCAUCAAGUUGUACUAGUUGUCAAGUGGGAUAUUACUGUAUGUUAAAUACAACAAGUUAUGAGUUGAUGAGUACGCAAUUUAUAUGUCCUGCUGGAAUGCACUGUCCUAGUGGGUUGUCUUAUCAGCCGUUUCCUUCGAGCAACCCUUGUUUGGCGGGUUAUUAUUGCGUGCAAGGAGACAAAUAUCCUAGUCCUCAAAAAUGCCCCAAUGGCACAUACAGUUCAUUUACUAAUCUAAAAGAUAUUAGUGAGUGUCAGCCAUGUUUACCUGGUUACUACUGCGAAUCAGAAGGUCAAACUCAACCAACUGCUCCAUGUUUGCCAGGUUACUAUUGUCCGGUUGGCACAUCAUCUAGGUAUGCUUAUCCAUGUCCCGUUGGUUUUUAUAGAAAUGCUUCAGCUGCUUUAUCUAGCAUGGACUGUAGCAGUUGUUUUGCUGGAAUGUAUUGUGACAUAGAAGGAUUAGCAUUUCCAAAAUUAUGUCCACAGGGAUACUUUUGUCCUUCAAAAUCAACUAUUCCACAGCCAUGCCCUGCUGGUUACUAUGGAAAUGUAACUGGUUUAAAAAGAAGUAAAGAUUGCACACCAUGUGAAAAAGGUUUAUAUUGUGCUGGUCCUGGAAAAAAGAAGCCAACAGGUGAAUGUGAUGCUGGUUAUUACUGUAUUGGAGCUGCUACUGUUUCAGCCCCCCCUGGAGACAUUACAGGUGGGCUUUGUCCAAAAGGAGGAUUUUGUCCCCAAGGUGCAACAUAUCCACAAGCUUGUCCAAUUGGUUUGUAUAACAGUGAUUAUGGAGCUAAAUCAGCAAAUGACUGUUUGCCUUGUACCCAUGGAUUUUAUUGUGCUGGUACUUUUAUGAAUGGCCCUACUGGUCCAUGUAAUCCAGGAUUUUACUGUAAUGGCAGUGCUACAAAUCCAAACCAAUAUUCAACUCCUGCUGGAUACUAUUCAUUAAAACAAGCAUCUUUUCCUGUUCCAUGUGAUCGUGGUUAUUAUCAAUCUUCUGAUCGUGCCUCAAGUUGUAAUUUAUGUAGCAAAGGUUCUUUUUGUAACAGAACUGGGUUAAGUAUUCCUGAGAACUGUUUAAUAGGUCAUUACUGUCCAGAUGGAACUAAAGAUCCAUAUCCAUGUCCUAAAGGAACAUUUAAUCCUGAAUUAUCAAAAGUAAAUGAAACAGAUUGUAAUCCAUGUCCCGCUGGAAAGUAUUGUGGUUCUACAGGUUUGGUUGCACCAACUGGUGAUUGUUUUUCUGGUUAUUAUUGUUUGCUUGGAUCACCAGAGCCUAAUCCUGCAUUUAACAUAUCUAAUCCUGGAAACAUUUCCAACUUUAUAAGCAAUGGAAAAUUAUAUGGAGGCAUUUGUCCUCCAGGUUAUUACUGUGAAACUGGCACUAAACAACCUUUUCAGUUUCCAUGUCCAAUAGGAACUUAUAACCCAAUAAUUGGAGCCACUAAUAUCUCAUUUUGCUUGCUGUGCCCAGGAGGAAAAUAUUGUGAAACACCAGGUUUGUCUGUCCCUACAGGCAAUUGUUUUGCUGGUUAUUAUUGUAAUGAAGGAGCUAAGCAAGGAGGACCAUUAGACAAUGUUCAGGGAAAUAUAUGUCCAGUGGGAUUUUAUUGCCCAUCUGGGGUGAAUACACCAUUACCAUGCCUUCCAGGGACUUACAGCAAUAUCACACAGCUUGCGCAAUGUCUCGGUUGUCCUCAACGGUACUUCUGCAACAACAGAGUGUAUCCAGAAAUAUGUCCACCUGGUUAUUUUUGCAAACUAAACACAUCAUUUGAAACAAAAAUGCCAUGCCCACCUGGAACAUAUAAUACUGUUGGAGGUUUAGCAAGCAUUGCUGAAUGCAGUGCCUGUCCUCCAGGAAAAUUUUGUGGUGAAUAUGCCGUAACUGAAUUUACAACAGGGAACAAUUCUGGUUCCUGUAAAGCUGGAUAUUAUUGCAGAAGUGGGGUUAACUCAAGCCAGCCUCAUCCUCCUUUAUCAACUGGGGUUGGUAAUAUAUGUCCUGCUGGGUACUACUGUAAAGAAGGUACUAGCGAUUAUAUAGCAACCCCUUGCCCACCUGGAAAAUAUUCUGCUGUCUCUGGAUUAACUAAAGUGGAAGACUGCACAGAUUGUGAUAAUGGUUAUUAUUGUAAUGGAACAGGAUUAACUGUCCCAUCAGGUCUAUGUGAUCCAGGAUUUUACUGUUACAGAGGAUCUGUAUCAAAAAACAAUCCUAUUGAUAAUGGAGUAAGUGGACCAUGCCCUGUUGGUCAUUACUGUACUGCAGGAACAUCAACACCGAUGGGGUGUUCUUCUGGAACUUACAUGCCUGUAACAGGAUCAUCAAAAUGUUGGUCAUGUCCUGCUGGGUAUUAUUGUUCUUCGAAUAUAUCAAGUUAUAUUGACUAUGAAUGUCCUAUGGGUUAUUAUUGUCCCAAUGGAACAAAAUAUGCCAAACAGUACUCUUGUCCGUUAGGCACUUUUAGAAAUGCAACACUUGGAAAAUCAAUAUCAGACUGUUUUCUAUGCCCUCCAGGUUAUUAUUGUGCUAGUAAUGGACUUUUCCAGCCUUCAGGACUAUGUGAUGAUGGAUUUUACUGUGUUGGUGGUGCUACCAUUUCUAAUCCAAUUUUUAGUUAUAACUACAACACUAGUUUAAAUUUUGUUUGUCCUUCCAAUAUGACAGGUGAUGUAUGCCAACCUGGUUUUUUUUGCCCUAAAGGAUCAGCAUUUCCACAAAUCUGCCCUGGAGGUUUUUACUGUUCUGGGAAACAGAAUUUUAAUUACACUGGUCCAUGUGAAGCAGGAUACUUUUGCAUUAAUGGAUCAUCAACUUCUCGUCCUGUAAAUCUUAUAUCAGGAAAUAUCUGCCCGCAAGGUUUUUAUUGCCCGCAACAAACUCAGGUGCCUGUGCCAUGUCCUGCUGGAACAUACUCUAACUCUACUGGAUACAAGAAAGAAGAAGAUUGUUUAUUAUGUCAAGCUGGUCAGUAUUGCCAAGGGGUUGGAAAUACAAAGCCUACUGGCCCAUGUGAUGCAGGAUUUUAUUGUCCAAAGAAUCAAUCAGAACCUAAUCCUAUACUUUAUGCAUGUAUCCCAGGUUAUUAUUGCACAAAAGGAUCAUCAGAACCAAAACUAUGUAAUCCUGGUACAUGGACAAACCUUUCUCAACAGUCACAGUGUCAAAUAUGUCUUGAGGGUUAUUAUUGCAGUCUUGAAGAUGCCAAAAAAUCACCAAUUACUGAUUAUUCUUUAUACCCAUGUCCGCAAGGGUUUUAUUGUCCAAAUGGCACUACAUUUGCUACCCAAUAUGGUUGUCCUAAUGGCACAUAUGGUAAUCAAGAAAGGUUUACUCAAUCUAGUCAAUGUUUAUCUUGCCCUCCUGGGAAAUACUGUUUAGGCUCUUCAUCAUCAUGGACAGGAAAUUGCACUAGUGGUUACUAUUGUACAGGUGGUUCAUCGGCUCCAAUCCCAACAAAAUCUUUUGGCAGUAUUUGUCCUGCAGGUUUUUACUGUCCGGAGGGCACUCCAUCUCCACUCCCUUGUCCUGUUGGUACAUUCAAUAAUAUGACAGGUCUUAGCUCUUUAAAUCAAUGUCAACAAUGUUUGUGUGGAAUGUAUUGCAUGAGUCCUGGAAUUGUUUAUCCUAGUGGUUUUUGCGAUGCUUCUUUUUUUUGCACGCUGGCUGCAACUGAUAGUAAAUCAAGUAAUUUAUCAACUGGUGGAUACUGCACUUUAGGACAUUACUGUCCAAAGGGUACAUGUGCACCUUUGCCAUGCAAAGAUGGUACUUAUAUGCCGAAUGUUCUUGCAAGCAGUUGUUGGUCCUGUCCUGCAGGUUCUUACUGUGUUGGUGAUCAUAUUUUACCAAUUCCGUGUCCAGCUGGAUUUUACUGCCCUAAUGGUACAGGUUAUGAUUGGAAACCAUGUCCGGCUGGGACAUUCAGUAGUCAAGUAGGAUUGCAAAAUAUAUCUUUUUGUCAGCCAUGUAUAGGAGGAAUGUACUGUCCAUUCCCCAAUGCUACGUCACCUGCUGGUUUUUGUGCAGCUGGUUAUUAUUGCAGUUAUGGCUCUGACACUGAUAAACCAGAGAAAAAUUAUAACGGAGUGGCAGGACCGUGUACUCCAGGUCAUUACUGUCCAAUAAAUACUACAACUCCAUAUUUAUGUCCUAGAGGGCGAUACGGAAAUUUAACUCACCUAACUAAAGCAGCAGAUUGCACUCUUUGUGAACCUGGUUUUUACUGUGGUAGUGAUGGGUUAGUGAAUGUUUCUGGACUUUGUGAUGAGGGAUUUUUUUGUUUAUAUGGCUCAGAUGUAAAAAACCCUUUCACAACAACUCCAUCAGGUGGACCUUGUCCAAUUGGUCAUUUUUGCCCUUUAGGCACUUCGUAUCCACAGCCUUGUCCAAAAGGCACAUAUAAUAACAAGACAGGACAAAGCAAAUGUGAAGAUUGUUGCAGUGGAUAUUAUUGUAUUGAAAACUCAAUAUCUUGUAACUUAGAAUGUCCUGCUGGGUACUAUUGUCCAAGUGGAGCUGGGGACCCCUAUAAAUAUCCAUGUCCACCAGGUACCUAUAAUAGUUUAACUCGAAAAUUUAGCAUAAAUGAUUGUUUGCCAUGUGAUCCUGGAAAAUACUGUCCCAAUUAUGGAUUAGUCAAUUCUUUUGAUGAUUGUGCAGAAGGUUGGUAUUGUCGAAAGGCUUCAACAUCACCAAAACCCAUUGAUUUUAAUGGGUCUUGUUUGUGUUCUAACCAAUCAACUGGUGGAAUGUGCAGACCAGGACAAUUUUGUAAAAAAGGUUCUGCAGAACCAACUCAAUGUUUGCCAGGUUAUUACUGUGCUUCAUCUGGCCUUUCUAAUUACACUGGAAUGUGUGAUGCAGGUUUUUAUUGUAUCAGUGGUGCAAAGGAGAGCGCACCCACUGAUAAUAUUACUGGAGCUUGGUGUCCACCAGGUAGUUAUUGUCCUCAGGGUUCAUCAUUACCAAAAAGUUGCCCACCAGGAACAUAUUCUAAUGCUUCAAAAAAUCAAAAACUUGCAGAUUGCCUUUUAUGUGAUUCUGGAAUGUAUUGUAGUAGUUGGGGUCUAACAAAGCCUACAGGAAAUUGUUCUCAAGGCUAUUAUUGUCCAAGUGGUCAAAAUACAAGUAAGCCAGAUCAAUAUAGAUGUACACCUGGUCAUUAUUGUCCAUAUGGAAGCUCAAUGCAAAUACCAUGCAUGUCGGGUACCUAUCAAGACCAAUAUUACAGUGUUUCAUGUAAUUUAUGUCCAGAAGGAUACUUUUGUAAUGGGAUUAUUUUAAAUAGUACUGAUUGUUUGGUAGGAGUACAAUUGCCUGAAGUUUGUCCAAGGGGUUAUUAUUGUCCCCCUGGUAUGAAAACAGGAAAUGAACAUGGUUGUCCUGCUGGUGCCUAUGGAGAUCGCAGUGGCCUUACUAAUGCAAGUGAAUGUGUACCUUGCCCUAGAGGUAAAUAUUGUGGAAAAUCUUCCCUAGAUAUGUGGAGCGGUGAUUGUGCAGCAGGGUAUUUAUGCAUUCAAUCUGCACAAAGCUCAACUCCUACAGAUGGUGUCACUGGAGUUAUUUGUCCUAAAGGAUUUUACUGCCCUUCAGGAUCAAAUCAAUCUCUUCCUUGCCCACCAGGUACAUAUAAUCCAACUUUGGGACUUAAAAAUAUUAAUGAAUGCUUAGGUUGUCCACCUGGGCAAUUUUGCAGCGAUUAUGGAAUGAACAUAACAUCUGGAAACUGCAGUGAGGGUUACUACUGCACUAUGAAUAGUUCAUUAUUUAAACCUCUGAAUGAUUUUACAGGUGGUGUUUGUCCAAUUGCACAUUAUUGUCCAUCUGGCACAAGUGUUCCUUAUUCCUGUCUGCCUGGUUAUUACAUGAAUACAACACAAGCAAGUAAAUGUAAUAAUUGUCCAGAAGGGUUUUUUUGUGUGAAUCAAGUUAAACCUGAAUUAUGUUUACCUGGAUUUUAUUGCGAGUCUACAACCGGAUACAAUUUGCUUCCUUGUCCAACAGGUACAUAUAGUGGAGAUUAUGGUCUCAGUUCAAAGUCACAGUGCAAAUUUUGUGAUCCUGGAAAAUAUUGUAGCUACUUAAAUUCAACAUCUCCAACAGGGUAUUGUGCUAAUGGAUUUUACUGUUUAAAUGGAAGUGAUACUUCAACACCAUCAGGUGGUAAUAAAGGAGUUGCUGGUAUUUGCCCACCAGGUUCGUAUUGCCCAGCAGGAAAUGCAUCAUCUCCUAUCUUAUGUCCCAUUGGAACAUUUAAAAAUACUACAUAUGGGGGUGAUUUAUCUGCAUGCUCUCCUUGUUUGCCUGGAUAUUACUGUGCACAAGCUGGACUUUCAUUUCCUACUGGUUUUUGUCACGCAGGAUUUUAUUGUAAACAAGGUGCUCAAGUUGCAAAUCCUCUGACCCUUGAUCCUAACUAUGGACCAUGUCCUAUGGGCUAUUUUUGUCCUAAUGGGACAUCUUCUCCAUUUAAAUGCAAAGCUGGGACUUAUAAUAAUUUACUGCAGCAAGAUUCUUGCUUUUCUUGUCCUCCUGGCUAUUUUUGUGGUAAUGGUUCUAUUAUUUACUCAGAUUGUCCAGCAGGUUAUUAUUGUCCAAAUAGCACAUUAGAUCCAUUUCAAUAUCCAUGUCCUAAAGGAACUUAUAAAAAUUUUACACGCGGGUCAUCAAUAGAUGAUUGCAAACCUUGUCUGUCAGGUAUGUACUGCCAUGGACUUGGUUUAGACAAACCUUCUGGAUUCUGUGAUGGUGGUUGGUUUUGUAGCGGUGGUUCAUGGUCGAAUCAACCUUUUGGAAAUGAAUUAUAUAACAACACUUGGAACUGUCCACUUUUCAACAUUGGUGGAAUGUGCAAGAAAGGUAGUUACUGUCCUACUGGAUCUUCUUUCCCUAUUCCAUGUGAUCCUGGCUAUUAUUGCAAAGAUGAUAAUUUGUCUAAAGUAUCUGGAAUUUGCUCAGCAGGAUACUACUGUAAUGGUAGCUCUAUAGAUGAACAACCUGUUAAUAAAUCAUAUGGUGAUAUUUGUUCACCUGGUUAUUACUGUGAAAUUGGUAGUCGUGCACCUAAACCAUGCGAUGCUGGGUACUUUGCUCCUGGGUUUGCAAAUAAAAAUAGCAGCAGUUGUUUACCAUGCCUUGCUGGAAUGUACUGUUUACAACCAGGUUUACCGUAUCCUACAGGAAACUGUUUUAAAGGGUACUACUGUCCCCCCGGAGAAAUUUAUCCAAAUCCUUUUGGUAAGCUUUGUCAACCAGGUCAUUAUUGUCCAAUUGCAAGCAAGCAACAAAAUGUUUGUAAACCUGGAUUUUAUCAGCCACAUGCUGGUAUGGAAGAAUGCAUAGAAUGUCCUCCUGGAUUCUACUGUGAUCCUACAUUAUUAAACAUAGGAGAAAAUAAUUCCAGUCAAGGUGUUGUAACUCCAACCGUUUGUCCUCCAGGUUAUUUUUGCCCCAAUGGAACUAUUACUUUUAAGGCUUUUCCAUGCACAAAAGGUUAUUUUAGCAACCAAUCUCAACUAUCUAGUCAAGAUCAAUGCUACCCUUGUACUCCUGGCUAUUAUUGUGAUAAAGAAGCAUUAACAUCACCUGCAGGAAAAUGCUUUGCAGGUUUUUAUUGUAACAUUAAAGCAAUUGUUCCAAAUCCGAAUAAUGUUUCUGAAGGUGGUGGGCCAUGUGAUAAAGGUUUUUACUGUGAAUCUGGCUUUUCCAUUCAGCUUCCUUGUCCAACAGGAACUUAUGGAAAUAGAACCCAACUUACUAAUUUAACUGAAUGCAUAGAUUGUGAUGUAGGAAUGUAUUGUGAUGUACCAGGAAUGACAUCUCCAAAAGGAGCUUGUUCGUCUGGCUAUUUUUGUUGGAGAAGAUCAACUGAAUAUGCACCAAUGAAUAAGUAUUAUGGGAAUGUAUGUCCUCAAGGAUACUACUGUCCUCUUGGUACAUCUGUUCCUUAUGCUUGUCCUCCUGGAACAUACAAUAAUAAAACUGGUGCUUCUCAGUCAGCAGAUUGUCAACCUUGUGAUGGUGGAUUUUACUGUAGUGGAAUCGCAAAUGUGCUUCCUGAUGGAUUAUGUAACAAAGGUUAUUAUUGCAGUCAAGCAUCCUAUAGUUCAACUCCAUUGAGGCUUGCAAAUGAGACAUACAACUACUCUACUUGUCCAAUAUAUAGUAUUAAUCAAACAGGUGGGUUAUGUAAAAAAGGAAAAUAUUGUCCAGAAGGAUCUAUAUACCCUAAAGAUUGUGAUAGAGGUAAGUAUUGUGAUUUAGACGGCUUGGCAUUACCUGCUGGAAAUUGCUCUUCUGGUUAUUACUGUGAUUUAAACUCUUUAUCACCAAAUUCUAGUGAAUGUCAAACAGGACAUUACUGUCCUGAAGGAACACCAUUUGAAAUUCAAUGUCCUAUUGGUACAUUUAAUCCUUUUACAAAACAAUCCGAAUUAGUAAACUGCCUAAACUGCACAGCUGGCUUUUUUUGUCCUUAUCCUGGUAUGUCAAACACUUUAUUUCUCUGUUCUCAAGGUUUUUAUUGUCCAUCAGGAUCAGUUACUAAUAAUACUUUUGAAUGCCCUCUUGGUUGUUAUUGUCCGACAGGAAGUGGGCAACCAUUACACUGUCCUGCAGGUCAAUUUCAAAAUAUGACUGGUAUGUAUGAAUGUCAAGAUUGCCCAGAAGGCUAUGCAUGUGAUCCAACUUCUCAAAAUGUUAAUGGAGUAAUUAAGCCUUCCUUGUGUAUUCCUGGCUAUUACUGCCCUCCUAAAACACAGCAUAUACAACAAUACCCUUGUCCGCCAGGAACUUACAGUAACACAAUGGGUUUAACAUCAAUAAAUAGUUGUUUUCCAUGUACUCCUGGUUUUUACUGCUAUGGGUAUGGUAAUACAAAUGUUACAGGAGAAUGCAGUCCAGGAUAUUAUUGUAUAAUUAAGUCAAAUACUUCAAUGCCUAUUGAUGGCACUAUGGGUGAUGUGUGCCCUCUUGGAAUGUUUUGCCCUAAGGGUUCAAUUCAAGGACAGCCUUGUCCAAUUGGAACAUUCAGCAAUACAACUAAACUUCAGCAAUCUACGGACUGUGCUCCUUGCUUAGCUGGUUGGUAUUGCCCAUUUACAGGUUUAAAGAACCCAUUUCAGCCAUGUCAACCUGGUUAUUGGUGCAUUAAGGGUUCAAUUACAUCAACGCCAGAAAAUGAAACUUAUGGUAUAGGAUGUCCAAAAGGAGCGUAUUGUCCAGAGGGUACUCCUUCACCAAUAAGUUGUCCAUUAGGAACUUAUCAACCAAACUACAAAAUGUCUACUAUUAACAACUGUUUAUCUUGUGAACCUGGUUAUUAUUGUGGUAGCCCUGGUCUUUACAAUAUGUCGGGUAAAUGUAUGGAUGGAUAUUUUUGCUCUGGUGGAGCUAUGUCGCCAAACCCAUUAAACGUUAAUGGUAAUGUUUGUCCUAUUGGUUCAUUUUGUUUGGAAGGUUCAGCUUUUCCUACUCCUUGUCCUAAUGGAACAUACACAAACUUUACUGGUUCAAAUAAGUGUCUCCAGUGUCCAGCUGGUUAUAUGUGUACUCGUCAAAUAGCAGCAGAUCCAUGCAAAAUAGGUUAUUAUUGUCUUGAAGGAACAGGUUUCAAUAUUAUUCCUUGUCCUUCUGGAACGUUUGGUUCACGUGUAGGUCUUUCUGAUAUUACGCAGUGCACAAAUUGUACAGCAGGUUCUUACUGUCAAGGAACUGGUAAUAACCAGCCAACUGGUCAGUGCGACCCAGGCUACUGGUGCUUAAAUGGUGUUGAUAAUAAAGCACCUGUAGAUAGUUUAGAUCAUUCUGGAAUUGGAGGGAGAUGUUUUUUGGGUCAUGAAUGUCCAGGAAAUACAUCAUUUCCUUUGCCGUGUCUACCAGGAUAUUUUUCAGAUAUUAUUGGGCUGAGUACAUGCAAACUCUGUCCUGCAGGAAAAUAUUGUAAUGGCUCAACAAUAAUUCCAAAUGAUUGCCCUAUGGGUCAUUAUUGUCCAAGUGGAACACAAUACUCAAUGCAAUACAAAUGUCCACCUGGUACCUACAACAAUAAAAGUGGAUCAUUGAAUAUAACAGCAUGUGUUAUCUGUCCUCCUUCAAUGUAUUGUGAAGGUUAUGGAAAUGUUAUGCCCUCUGGUUUAUGUUCAGAAGGUUAUUACUGUAAAUUUGGAGCAAUUGCUGCUACUCCUUUAAAUUUAGGUUUGCUAAAUGCAAGUAGUUUAUAUGUAAAUACUUCUUGUUAUCAUCCUUUUGAUUGUGUUUGUCCUGCAUGGAAUAUAACUGCAAAUAAUAUAUGUCCUCUUGGAUAUAUCUGUCCUGCUGGAUCCACAAAUCCUAUUAUUUGCCCUUCUGGAAAGUUUUGUGAUCAAAUUGGACUUGCUAUGCCCUCUGGAAACUGUACUGCUGGAUUUUAUUGCCAAUCUGGUUCAGUAACUUCUACAGAGUUUGAAUGUCCUUCUGGUCAUUUUUGUCUCGAAGGAGUUUCCAUACCUGAGCCUUGUCCUAAAGGAACAUAUUAUCCUGGUGUUAAAAACUCUCUCCAAAGCAAUUGUAUUAAUUGUACAGCUGGCUAUUAUUGUGAAAUAAGUGGUUUGGCUACAGUAACUGAAAAAUGUGCAUCUAAGUAUUACUGCCCAGGAGGUCAGUCAACUAGUACUCCAAUUGAAUACCAAUGUACUUUGGGUCAUUAUUGUCCGCCUGGUUCAGAAACUCCAGUUCCUUGUCAAAAUGGAACUUUUCAAAAUCAAACUACACAAGAAAAAUGCAUAACAUGUCCUCCAGGUUCAUAUUGUGACCCUUCAGAAGGUCCUGUAGUUUUACCUAAACCUUGUCCAAUGGGAUAUUAUUGUCCUACUGGCACAUCAUAUAAAAAAACAUUUCCCUGUCCUUCUGGAACGUUUGGUCCCAAAGAAGGAUACUCUAAAAUUGAAGAUUGCAUAUAUUGUACACCUGGAAUGUAUUGUGAUAGACCUGGCUUGGUUUCACCAUCUGGUUUUUGUAAUGAGGGUUUUUAUUGUUUUAUGGGAUCAAAUUCAUCAGAGCCUAUAAAUCAAAUUCUUGCAUUAGAUUGGAAUUUUAAUUACUACAAUGACCUAUGCCCUAAAGGUUAUUACUGUAAUAAUGCAACAUCUACUCCACAACCAUGUUUGGCUGGUUAUUACUCAGAUGAAAGAGGUGUAAAGAAUGAGAAAGAUUGCAAAGAAUGUCCUCCAGGAAAGUAUUGUUACUCUGUUGGAGCUGGAGAAUUGGUAAACCCACCAAAUUGUUCAGCAGGAUAUGUAUGCAAAAGAGCUUCCCCUGUUUCUACACCAGUUAAUAUUUCACUAAGUAUUGGAUAUCCUUGUCCUAAAGGCCACUACUGUCCAGAAGGAUCUUUUAUUGAGUUGGGCUGCAUGCCAGGCACUUAUCAAGAUAACUUAGGCCAAUCAGUAUGUAAACCUUGUGAUCCUUCAUUCAUGUGUAUGGAUUAUCGAAUUAUAACUCCAGUUUUGUGCCAACCAGGUUAUUAUUGUCCAGGAGGAGAGGCUAUAAAAUGUCCACCAGGAACCUUUAGUAAUGCUACAGGAAUUAAAUCAGUAAACUUAUGUAUGAAGUGUACUCGUGGUAAAUAUUGUUCAGGAUAUGGACUAAUAGAACCAACUGGUCCUUGUGCUCCCAGUUUUUUUUGUGAAGGAGGAGCUUCUACUCCAGUUCCUGUUGCAAACAGCAUUUUUCCUAGAAAUGGUCCUUGUCCUAUGGGUUAUUAUUGCACUAUGGGAACCCAGGAACCAGAACAAUGUCCAUCAGGUACCUUUAGAAAUACAACUGGUGCUGCAAACAUUAAUGAGUGUUAUCCCUGUAAACCUGGUUCAUUUUGUGAAACUGAUGGACUUAUUAUACCUUCUGGACUUUGUGCAGCAGGUUGGUAUUGUCCUCCAAAUCAAUCUAAAUCAAAGCCAUCAAACUAUACAUGUCCAGAAGGUCAUUAUUGCCCAGAAGGUGCUGCUUAUCCUAUAGACUGCGAACCAGGAACCUAUCAGCCCUCGCGAAUGCAGAGUUCUUGUUUCGACUGCCCAGCUGGAUAUUACUGUCCAAAUCGUGUAUCAACACUUAUUCCUUGUCCAUCAAGAUUUUUUUGUUUGAAAAGAACAGAAAUACCUGAAAUAUGCCCAAAUGGAACAUUCAGUUAUGACAAUGACACAGGUCUUCAGAAGUCUGAACAGUGUCGACCCUGUAUUUCUGGACAUUUUUGUUACUUAGGAAAUAUCAUUGGAUUAUGUGCAAGUGGAUUUUUGUGCUUAUCAGGUAGUUCAUCUCCAACCCCAGAUUUAAUGAUAGGCCCUAACAUAAAGGUUGGCCCAUGUCCACCUGGAUAUUACUGUCCUUAUGGGUCUGUAGCUCCUUUACCAUGUCCAGAAGGCACUUUUAAAUCUAGUUUUGGUGGUGUAGGCAAUAUUUCAGAUUGUCUUGCAUGUCCUGCUGGCCAACAGUGUUUUCAAGGUGAUCCAACAAUUCAUUUAUGUCCACUUGGGAGUUAUUGUCCAGAAGGUUCUUUGCCUAAAUAUUGUCCUAUUUUAACUUAUCGUGAUAUUUAUGGAGGUAAAAAUGUAUCAGACUGUUUUCUUUGUAAGGCUGGGUACUACUGUGGUAAUGAAGGUAUGUCUAAUGUAAGUAUUAGUCCAUGUCCUGUUGGACAUUAUUGUACUGAAGGACAAUAUCCACAGUGGUGUCCUGCAGGAACUCGAAGAAUAGAGCCUAGUGGAAAAAGUAUUGAUAGUUGUGAAAUAUGUCCUGAACGGUACUAUUGUCCCUAUGGAUCUACAAAUUAUACAGGUAUACCAUGUUCACCUGGAUUUUAUUGCAAAAAUGGAUCAGCUCUUGAAAGUGAAUGUCCAGGUGGAUUUUAUUGUCCGAGUAUGACUGUAAAUCCAUUAUUAUGCCCAGAUGGUUAUUAUUGCACCAAUGGAACUGCUGCUCCUACUAUUUGCGAAUACCCAUAUUAUUGUCCUUCAGGUAGCUCUUAUUAUCAAAUUUGUCCAUUAGGUUACCAAGCCACUACAAUUGCAGGUAAUAGAACAUCGAUAUUAAAUUCUUGCAUGGUCUGUCAAGCUGGUUUUUAUGGUAAUGAUCCUCUGCGAAUAAAUUGUUCCAUUUGUCCUGAAGGUUAUUAUUGCCCUGAAGGUACUAUUGAUCCAUUUCAAAAUGCUUGUAUAAAAGGAUAUUAUUGCCCAGCUGGUGCAUCAGAAGGGUUGCCUUGCCCACCUGGUAUGUACGGGAACUUAACAAAAGCUUCAAAACCAUCGGAUUGUUUUCUGUGUCCUGUAAAUACCUUUAAUAACCUAAAGGGAAUGGAAGCAUGCAGACCAUGUGGUAGUAGUGCACGAUCACAAGAAGGUGAAAUUAAGUGUGCUUGCAUUGGAAUAAAUCGUGCAUUUCAGGUUUCUGAUGGUUCUUGUGAAUGUGAAAGUGGCUAUAUUUACUAUGAUCCAAUGAAUAUCAAGCAAGUUGAGGGAAAUAGUGACAAAUCUUGUCAACCAUUGGUUGCUGACCGCUGUUCUGCAGGAAUGGUGCGCAUGUCCAAUACACUUGAAUGUAUUCAACCUGAUAAUGUACCAGUCUCAUACUGCAACGAAGCUUGUGGAUCAGAUGGAGGGAAAAUUAAUGUAACAGAUGGUCGUUGCACUUGUAAAACAUAUACAGUGUUGUCUCAAGUCUGUAAUAAAAUAUGUCAGUCACAGUCCCCCAUUAUAAAAUUGCAGCGAGAAAAAUCAGGUGAACUAUACCUGCUUAUCAUUGAGAGAUCAACAAACACAGUUUUAAAAAAGAUAUUGCAGAUUGGUGAGUUUGGAAUUAAUGAUUUUGAUUACUCUGAGAGAUCUGUUGAGAUAACAAAUUUUGAUAGUGAAGGCAUUUUCGGUAUAGUCCCAUCAGAUGUCAAUGCUGUUUUAAAUUUUUUAAAUGCUUCAGUAAACCAAUCAGGAUUAGUUUCAAGAAAAAGGCGUAGUGUUGAUGCUCCACCAUCAAAUAGUUUGGUAGGAAUUCGAUCUCCAAUUGUAUGUGUUCUAAUUGAACAGGCAGUUUUUUUCAAAAUAAAUAUUAAUCUUUUUAAUCGUUCAUUAAGUAAUUAUCCUAUCUACAGCAAAAAUCAUUUGUUCAAUUCAAAUCCAUCAUUUGACUAUGGUCAGUUUCGCCAGCUGAAUUUGUUAAUACAGUCAACAAACUUAACACUUUAUUCUUUUGCUAAUGUGUUUUCAGAACCUGGAGUUUAUGUGUUUUAUGAUAAUGCAGACUAUAGAAGAGAAACUAUCAUUUUUGUUCCUAAGAAAGGAGUUUCCUGUCCAGAACGAAUAGAAGCUUCGUCGCCUAUAUUUCUUCCGAAAUUUGGUAUUGGUGUUACUGGGACUCCAAAUGAAUCACCAAAUUGGUCUUUGAUUUGGACAUGCAUUUUGCUUAUGCUUGUUUUUGUUUCUAUCAUGAUUAUUUUAGCUAUUUUAUGGAGACCAAAAGAAAUAGGCAUUUAUCCAAAAAGUUUCUUGCGUCCAAAGUACCGAGCCCUUGGUGCACCAUUACCAGUUAUACCUAUUCCAGGUGUAUCAGAUAAUCUGAAAAAUUAUCAGCAUUUGUCUGUAACAUAUGAUGGCGAUGCUAUUUUUGCAGAUAGUUAUAGCUUGCUUGAGAAUUUUAAUGUGAGAACGUUGUAUGACAAAAUUGAGGACCAGACAUUACAUAUUUCUUCUCAAUUAAGUAAUCAUCAGUUAGAUUUAAGAAGGUUUUAUGAUAAAAUAAUACAACAAACAGAAGGAUUAAAAACGAUGUUAAAAAAUCUGGAUCUUAAAGCUUUAAUGGAGUUUAACAGACAUAGUAAUGAAGAAAAACAUGUAGAAACUGAUAGAUAUCAAAACAGUGAUGUUUUACCAUUUAAAUUACUGUCCAAAAGUGUAUUAACUAGACAAGAAGAGUUGCAAAAAACAUUAAAUUCUUUACUUGAAAGAUACAGUAGCAACUGGCAACCUGUGCCAGUGGCUAAUGUUAGAGUAAAAAAAGAAGUUUCUAUACAAGAUUUUAGCAGUGGGGAUUUAAGUGUGUUACAUAUGAUGAGUGCAGAAAGAAUACAACUAGAGCAAGACCUGCAGGAAGAAGAAAACAUUGCUUUAAAGGAAUUUCAUGAUAAUAAGGAAAAAAAAAGAAAAGCAUUAAUGGCACAGAUGAGUGCAAAGUUGGUUAAUCAACUCUCAGGUGAAUUGAAUAUAAUUGAAAUGAAGCCUAUAAUUGAUAUGCAUGGAAAUGAACUUACAGAAGCUGAUAACUCUUUUAUGGGUAUUCAAGAUGAAAAACUUAAUGCACUAGUUGAGAAGUUAAAGGAAAACAGAGUUGCCAAGAUUAAAGAAUUAAAUUGGCGUCAUGAAAAUAUGGCAAACCAAGGAAAUUUUAAAAUUGCUGAGAUAGAUAUCAUGGAAGAUCUUCAGGUAGAACCACAGCAUAUUGCUUUAGAGUUGGCUUCACUUGAAGAGAGUAAGAAUAAUGCUGAAGAAAAUAUUCAAAAAAUUGCUCAGCAAACAAUAAACUAUAGAAGACUUAUGAGUGACAACUUUGCAGCACAAAUGAAUACAUUGUUUGAGAGCUCUGUAGAGUAUAAUAGUGAAGCUCAAAAAUUAAUUAACGAAGAACAAAAAUUGACAGAAAAACUGCAAAAGGAAUUAGAUUUAAAAAAAGCAGCUCAGAUUGCUAUAUUUGAUGAAAAACUUAAUCAACGUAAAGCUGCUCGGCUAAAGAAACUGAAAGAACAACAAGAAUUAGAAACAAGUUUGGCAUUACAAAAUGGUCAAAGCACAGUUGAACUUGAAAAAAGGUAUGAAAGACAGCAAAAGGUUUUGGAUGCCUCUUUUGAAACAGAGAAAACAGAGCACAUUGCUGAGAUAAACAAAAAAAUCUAUGAAGAAUUUCAAGAAGUAUUUAAGCAGAAUCAUCACCUUCUAAUAAAAAAGAUUGAAAAUAACAAAAAUGUUAAACCUGAAAAAUUAAUGGAAGCAAUAGAUGAGUUAAGAAAAAGUAGCUAUAAUGUUGCUGAAAAACUGGACAAAGAAAUGAAGCACAGCAUAGAAGAGUUUCAGAUAAAACUUGCAGCUCGUAAAGCUAUGAGACAAAAUAAGAUCAAAGAAAAAGCACAAGAAGCUGCAUUGAAAAAGUUAUCUGAUGCACAAAGUGAACUAUUUAUAAGAAACAGUUCUCAAAUUUCCCACGAAGUAACUAUUCCUCAAUUUACCUUCGGAGUGUUACCAGAGAAGCAGACUAUCCUUGUUGAACAACAACGUGUAAUUGAAGAUUUAAAAAGAAAGCAUGCAGAGGAUGCAGAAAAACUAAAUUUAAAAAUAGAAAAUGAUAAUCAAGCACAAAUCAGAAAUGAAAUGCAAGAAUUCCAAACUAAAAAAGAUAAAACUUUGCGAGAAGUUAUGAGCAAGCAAGCGGCAGAACUGAGUACUCGAAAGAAUCUCUCUACUGAAGAAGUUCAAAAGUUGAUUACCAAUCAUGAGCAGGAGUUAAGAAACAUUGUAGAGCGUUUGGAGACAGAACAAGAUAUACGUCAUCAAACAUUGAACAAAAAACUGAUGGAGAGAAAGGAAGCAAGGGGAAAAGCCCUGAAAAAGAUACAAGAAAAUGAACUUGCUCGUGAAUAUCUUGAACAAAGCAAAGAACUCGUCGAUGUUGAAAUUAAAGCGGUAAAAGAUUUAGAACGAGAAACCAUAUUAAAGCUUAUAAAUGAAAAUGGAAACCAGUCUAUUGAGUACAUUAUUAAAAUGGUUAUUGAACAGCGCCAAAAUAAAGAAUAUGCAGAGCUUGAGAAAAUAUACAAUAGUGAAAAAAGUGUUGCUGUAGAUGAUGUUAUUUUGAAAUUAAGAGAAAAACAUUUGUUUGAAAGAGAGCAACUGAUUGUGAAGCAUGAUGAAGAACUUAAGGAACUUCAACGAGAAGAAUCACAAAAUGAGGAGUUUCAAUUUUUAAAUGUGCAACUUUUGAACAAACAACAGAUUGAAUUAAAUGCAUUUGGUAAAAGUCAAUUUAAUGAGAGAAAAGCUUUGAAAAACAGAACAUCUGCUGAUUUUGAACUUCGUUUUGCAAAGAAAAAAAUUGAAAUGAAAGAGACUCAUUACAAGGAGUUUGCAGAAUACCUUCAUGAGUUUGUUCCACAUAAUACCGAUUUGAUUAAAAAAACACAGCAGUCUGUUAGUGAACUUGAAGAAGUCAAACACAAAUUAGAAGAUCAGAAAAAAGAAAUUGAUGAAAAGAUGAAAAAAGAAAUGGAAGAAUUUGAAAAAGUGGAAAAUGAAAGAGUUCAAUUAAAACUGUCAGAAUAUCAAGCUCAAAUUGAUAAGGAAAUUGAAGAAGAGAGGUUGAAAAAUGAAAAAAUUAUACAAACUUUGAGUUCUCGGAAAGAUGCUCUUCUACAUGGAAAAAAAGGAAAAAGUAAAGGAAGAAAUAAAACUACUCGUAGAACGAGGUGCUUCUCAAGAAGAUCAAGAUGCGUUACUUAAAGAACACAACAAAGAUCUUGCUAAACUUAUGAACAAAAUGGAUUCAGAUCGGUUAAGAAUGCAAAGUCAGUUAGAAAGAAAACUUGAAAAAAAGCGUGAAGAACGAAGCAUGAAUAAAUUGAAAGAAGUGCAGCUUCAAUUAGAAGAGAAAAAAGAGGAAUUUCUUGAAACUUUGCAUAGCAAAGAA